UGCCCACUGAUGGUAAAUUAAAGGGCUGCAGUAUUUUGACUGUACAAAGGUAGCAUAAUCAUUAGUCAUUUAAUUGAUGACUUGCAUGAAGGAUUGGAUGAGAUAUAAACUGUCUUAAAUUUAAAUUAUAAAAUUUAAUUUUUUAGUUAAAAAGCUAAAAUUUAAUAAAAAGACGAGAAGACCCUAUAGAGUUUUAUUAAAUUUAUAAAUAAAUAUAUUAUAUAUAAAUUAAAAUUAAGAUUUAUUUUUUAAUUUUAUUGGGGUGAUGAAAAAAUUUAAUUAACUUUUUUUAGAAAAAUUUACAUAGAUAAGUGAAUAUAUGAUCCAAUUGAUAUUGAUUGUAAGAAAAAAUUACCUUAGGGAUAACAGCGUAAUUUUUUUUUUUAGUUCUUAUAAGAAAAAGAGUUUGCGACCUCGAUGUUGGAUUAAGAUAAAAUUUAAAUGUAGAAGUUUAAAGUUUUGA
rnacentral:rRNA from 1 species